rnacentral:lncRNA from 1 species
AAAUAACAGGAAUCGUUCCCUAAAUGCAUCACGCAAACACUGCAGGACUGAGUGACGCGCCUGGCGUCAUGUUCCCGUGUGCGAAAUAUGAUGCUGCAGGUGCACGUGGUGUGUUGUUUACGUCUUCCAGGAACAUUUGAAGUGCUGCUGGAGAGAAGGGGGGGCGGUGAAAUUGUGAAACAGCUUCCCUGGAUAGAGUUACACUGCUCAGCAGUUGGAAACAGACCUGUAAACCGACAUUAAUGACGCGGAAGAUGCCGAGCUGAAUUCCCUCAUUAUUGCUCUUAAACGGCCCUUUUAACAGCGCGAGACUUCCUCAAUAAAGUCUAGAAUGCCUCAUCUUGGAAGCCUGUUUACCCAUUUUAAUCUCACCUCCAAAUCUUCAGAAAGUGUCCAAGGCCAGAGCCCACAUCAGACACCAAAACUACCUGACUUUAUUCAACAUGCCAGGAAACUCACCGGGAUAAGAAAGGAAGAUGUUUACUGCAAUCUGCGUAUCCCCGACCAGUUUCAGAACGCCAAAGAUGACAUAAACAUUGUUAUCCUCACAGGUCAGGGGAUCUUCUGCAUCGAUGUAAAACCCUGCAGAGGCACGGUGUCCGCUCACAACCAGAACUGGCAUGUUCGAGUGAAAGAUGAGGACCAAAACUGUACCAAUAUCUGCAUUGAGCAGAUUGAAGAUCCCCUCAAAGCUAUCAUGACCAAGACGGCUAACUUUUGUGGCCAUUUAAAGAGGAGUGGAGUGUCGGUGCGCCAAAGCCUCUUCUUCCCCAGGGUUGUCUUCCUCUCUCCGGACUGCGAGCUGGAUGAGGAGCUGAGGAAGAGGAGGGAGCUGGUCUCCCACAGCCAGAUAGACGACUUCCUCAGAUCUUUCAGGGAGGGCUACAUGGCCUGGAUAUCAGAUGCACUGACUCCAUCCUGGCUCUCUGGUCAUCUGUCAUACAAGCAGAUGGAGUCAGUGCGGGAGGUCCUGAGGAGGGUGGGGACUUGGGAUCUGGUGCGGCUGCACUGUGGUGAGCAGCUGAAAGGAGACUUCCAGGCCUGCCAGUACAUCGCUCUCAACCGACAGGAGACAGACACGCUCGAGUUUUCCAGAGUCAAGACCCUGUCAGCUGAUUCGCUGUGGUCCCUGCUGGGACACGCUCCUCAGGUAACAGUUAAAAUGUACAAGCGUGGAUCUCAGGGCUGGCUGGGUAAAUCCCUCAACGCCACCACCACCAUCCCCUCCAACACCUAUGUGAUCUUCAGGAUCAGCGGGGAGGAAGCAGACGCCAAAAUCUCAGCAAACAGCAUUCACAGCAUCACUCUCAGCCACUGACCGUGUGUUUCAGUCUAUACAGAGGAUAGCCAUCACAUCAUGGCGCUGCGGCGAGAGGAAGCAUUCUUAAUGACAA